CUAUCUAUCUAUCUAUCUAUCUAUCUAUCUAUCUAUCUAUCUAUCUAUCUAUCUAUCUUCAUCAUCAUCAUCUUCACCACACAGCUGGUAGUCCUUGCAUGGUAGGGAGAUUAUCUCUGGUACAAACACUUAUUCACUGCACUAAAAAUAACAAGCUUUAGCCACGGUUUAUUUUACACACACACACACACACACACACACACACACACACACACACACACACACAGAAUGCGUGCUUGAGUUCCCUAAACUUUUGACUGAAACGAGCGCAUUACGUAAUGACGUGUGGUUUAUUUUUCUCCCACCCGCAUUCCGACGAGUACCACCUUCUCAGCCGGGAUUGGUCAAAAGAGCCCCGCCUCCUACGUCUGAUUGGCUAAUCAUCUGUACGUGCAAGUAGGUGAGACUUCUAAGCCAAUCCUAGCCGAGGGGGCGGGAUUUGUACCAAUACGGGUGAGAAAAGGGUUGACGUGAAGAUUGUAAAGUGUCAAAAUUGGAUGGCGUGUCAUAAAUAUUGUGGUCUGUGACCUGAGGAGUCGCGACGAGGAGAAACCGUGAGAAAUGACAGAAGUUCAUACAAACAGCAGUGUACUAACGAGAUUAGUGGUUAGCUCCUGCUAGCUGACUGAAGCUAAAACUUCACAAAGCUCGCACAGAAACCUGACAAAUAUAAAUAAACUUACCGAGAAUCCCAGGCGUGUGUAAAUCAGUGAUAAAUGGUGUAAAAGUGUGUAAAGAGCAGGAUGACGAGGUGCUCUGAGGUGAUCUGAGGUGUAGAACAGGACAGACGUGCUGAGGUAAAGUGUUCAGUUUGUGUCACAGCGGACCUGCCCGCCGCUUACCGAACACUUAGGCAUCUUUUAUCUUUAUUCACACAUCGGAACGGAAACAUAAACCGCUGUUUAAUGGUAUUUUCGGCUAAAAUGGGGUGCUGCGCUGCCGCCGGCCUCCAGCGCGUAAACAACACCAACAACGGCCAGGACCCGGAUGUACAACCGACAGCGCUGCCAACCAGAGCACUGACGUCAUCACGUCGCAGGACCCGGAUGUGGUCGGAUCUGUU